rnacentral:rRNA from 1 species
AUUGAACGCUGGCGGAAUGCUUUACACAUGCAAGUCGAACGGCAGCACGGGUGCUUGCACCUGGUGGCGAGUGGCGAACGGGUGAGUAACAUAUCGGAACGUAUCCAAUAAUGGGGGAUAACUAAUCGAAAGGUUGGCUAAUACCGCAUACGCCCUACGGGGGAAAGCUAGGGACCUUCGGGCCUGGCGUUAAUGGAGCGGCCGAUAUCUGAUUAGCUAGUUGGUGGGGUAAGAGCCCACCAAGGCGACGAUGAGUAGCUGGUCUGAGAGGACGACCAGCCACACUGGAACUGAGACACGGUCCAGACUCCUACGGGAGGCAGCAGUGGGGAAUUUUGGACAAUGGGCGCAAGCCUGAUCCAGCCAUUCCGCGUGAGUGAAGAAGGCCUUCGGGUUGUAAAGCUCUUUCGCAAGGGAAGAAAACUUAGCCUCUAACAUAGGCUGAGGUUGACGGUACCUUGAUAAGAAGCACCGGCUAACUACGUGCCAGCCGCCGCGGUAAAAC